CAGAUUACAGCAGCCCUGCCAAAAGUUACUAAAACAUGGCAUACAUCUAGGCUUUUUUUCUUCUUAUAUGCAACAGCAGCAGACGGAAAAGCUGCUAGGCGAUUUAAAGUGAUUAGCUGGUGAGCUCUCUGGCUGUUAACUGAUUCGAUCGAUUAAUUAACCAGCUAUAUUUGCAAACUUAAACACUUCAAUAGAGGUCCUUGUUGGAAGAUCCUUAAUGAAGAUUAAGAUUUAUAAAUCAAAGGCCACCACACGUUGUUUACGUAAAAUAAAGCUUUUUUUUUUAAGUAAAUAUAUUUCUUGUGGUUACCAGAAGUAUCUUUGGGAAUCCCAAAGGCGUCUGUUCUACAUCUCAGACUAAGGACUGUACCGAUUAACUGGCUUAACUGGUAGCCGUGCUUCUGAAUGGCGUUUGAAGUGGGGGUAACACACCAGCUUAAUUUAAGCAAUUUCACAAGUCUAUAGAAUCCAAAAUCGCAUUUGAAGUUGAGGUUUUGCCUGGGUUAAAUCAGCACUUGUGGCUCCAGUGAUUUUCCUGAUACAUCACAUCGCUGUCAAAAACCAUUAACAGCUUCACUGGAUGUUGGACCAAGGAAAAGUGUCUUUCGGUGGGCCCUGGUGUGUACCUCUUGCCAACCACCAUCACAGCCACCAACUUUCUGACACAUCAAAGACAGCCUGGAGCUCCUUGAAUUAUAAGCAACAGCAAUGCAGAGCGCUUUCACGUCAGAGCUGAAGAAAGAAAGAGGCAAGAGGAACAAACGAAGACUUUCCCCCACCCUGAGCCUCUCACUCUAUCUCAUUAGAAGGAAGAAGGAAGGAAAGAAUCAUGGGAUCAUAUAUCCUUUGCAUGCAGAAAGUUCUGGUUUGAAACCUUGGAGAGCCACUGUCAGCCAGGGCAGAGAGAAGUAGAUGGAUCAAUAAAUGGAUGCCAAGUAUAAA